AUUGAACGCUGGCGGCAGGCCUAACACAUGCAAGUCGAACGAGUGGCGGACGGGUGAAUAAUGUCUGGGAAACUGCCUGAUGGAGGGGGAUAACUACUGGAAACGGUAGCUAAUACCGCAUACCAUCGGAUGUGCCCAGAUGGGAUUAGCUAGUAGGUGGGGUAAAGGCUCACCUAGGCGACGAUCCCGAGCUGGUCUGAGAGGAUGACCAGCCACACUGGAAAGGAGACACGGUCCAGACUCCGACGGGAGGCAGCAGUGGGGAAUAUUGCACAAUGGGCGAAAGCCUGAUGCAGCCACGCCGCGUGUAUGAAGAAGGCCUUCGGGUUGUAAAGUACUUUCAGCGGGGAGGCGUUACCCGCAGAAGAAGCACCGGCUAACUACGUGCCAGAAGCCGCGGUAAUUC
rnacentral:rRNA from 1 species